CUCCCGCCAGCCUGCAGUUGACGUGGAGCAGGCGGCAUAAAUCAAGUCCGCGGGGCAUGGAGGCUGCUGUCGCUGCAGCAGCUCAGCUUGCCCGGGGCGGGAACUCCCCCUUUCUCCUUUCGCCUCCCCAGCACCCACACCCUGUCUCCCCCUUAAUUCUUCCCUGGAUAAUAGCACCCUAACGACAACAGUCAUAAUAAUAGGGUUAGAACGACAGGGGAGGAAAACUCAACAGCCUAAAUAUCUCUGAAAACUGCAUCGCAAAAUGGAAGAAAGAGGGGGUCCCACUACUGUUUCAAAAGAGUAAGUUAUUAUUCGGAGCCAUGGAAGUCAAAUGCUGAGGAUGGUGGCAUCAUAGGAUGAAUGGAGCUGGGUUCUUGAAACACUGCCUGGAGGAAAGACAGCAAAAAUGCCUCAUGAAUCCAACUGGACUGUUAGGAUGCUCACCCUUGGAGACCAGCAACAAUGUGUGCAGAAACCCAGGCCAUGUGGAGAGGCCCCACAUACGUGUCCAACUGAGGUCCCAGCUGACAGCUGGCAUUGACAUGUGAGUGAGACUCUGAACGUUCCAGCUGAUGACAAGUACAGUUUGAGCGAGCUAUCCCUGUUGGGCCUGUCAAAACUGCAGAUUUCAUGAAGAAAAUAAGUGUUGUUGACUUAAGCCAGUAAGUUUUGACAUACUAUGUUACACAGCCAUAGUAGCUGGAAGAGUGUGAAACAAAUACUAUUCUCUUGUGUCUCAUUUCUCUAUAAAGUAUAUCUUCCCCCUUCCUUGCAUAGGGAUUCUUUCUCCUUUUCUCUCAGACAGUUCUGCUAUUAUCCCUGCUAGUGAUGCUAUUACUACUUCAAAUACUAUUGUUUUUAUAUCUGUUGCUACUACUGAAAAUAAGAUAAUUUUAUAACUAAUGUUGAGUAUGCAUCUACUAUAUAGAUUUACAUCCUUAACAUGUAUUAAAUCACGUAAUUCUUACAUCAAAAGCAUGGAAUUGUAUCACCCCAAGAUUCAUAUGUUGAAGUCCUCACCUUUAGUAUUCACAAUGUGACCUGUUUGGAGAUAUGGUCUUUAAAGAUGUGAAAUGAAGCCAUUAAAGUAGUCCUUAAUCCAAUA
rnacentral:lncRNA from 10 species